UUUCCGGUUGAUCCCGCGGACCCCACUGCUAUUGGGAUAGGACUAAGGGCAUGCUAGUUUUCGUCUUUAAGCUAUGGAGAAGAGGAGGCAGACAGCUCAGUAACACGUAGCUAACCUGCCCUCGGGAUAGAGAUAACCCCGGGAAACUGGGGAUAAUAUCUGAUAAGCGAGAAUGCCUGGAAUGGUUUUUCGUUUAAAGAAAUAAGAACCAUGCUUCUUAAAUCGCCCGAGGAUGAGGCUGCGGCCGAUCAGGUAGUUGGUGAGGUAAUGGCUCACCAAGCCUAUAACCGGUACGGGGCGUGAGAGCGCUAGCCCGGAGAUGGGCACUGAGACAAGGGCCCAGGCCCUACGGGGCGCAGCAGCUACGAAAACUCUGCAAUGCGCGAAAGCGUGACAGGGCUAUCCCGAGUGCUAUCCGCUGAGGAUAGCUUUUCUUUGGUGUAAUGAGCCAUGGGAAUAAGGGGAGGGCAAGCCUGGUGUCAGCCGCCGCGGUAAUACCAGCUCCCCGAGUGGUGGGGAACAUUAUUUGGCCUAAAGCGUCCGUAGCCAGCUCGGUAAGUCUUUCGUUAAAUCCAACGAUCUAAUCGUUGGGCUGCGGGGGAUACUGCAGGGCUAGGGGGCGGAAGAAGCUGACGGUACUCUUGGGGUAGGGGUGAAAUCCUAUAAUCCUAGGAGGACCACCAGUGGCGAAGGCGGUCAGCUAGGACGCGCCCGACGGUGAGGGACGAAAGCUGGGGGAGCGAUCCGGAUUAGAUACCCGGGUAGUCCCAGCUGUAAACUAUGCAGGCUAGGUGUUCGCGUGACUACGAGUUACGCUAGUGCCGCAGGGAAGCCGUUAAGCCUGCCGCCUGGGAAGUACGAUCGCAAGAUUGAAACUUAAAGGAAUUGGCGGGGGAGCACCACAAGGGGUGAAGCUUGCGGUUCAAUUGGAUUCAACGCCGGG
rnacentral:rRNA from 1 species